rnacentral:tRNA from 1 species
GCCUGGGUGGCUCAGUCGGUUAAGCAUCCGACUUCGGCUCAGGUCAUGAUCUCAUGGUUCGUGGGUUUGAGCCCCACAUCGGGCU